CGGUAAUUCCAGCUCCAAUAGCGUAUAUUAAAAUUGUUGCGGUUAAAACGCUCGUAGUUGGAUAUUUGUUGAGAACUGCCGGUCUACCCCAGUGGUCAGCACACGGUUUGUUCUCGGCACUUUCCUGGGGAGAGUGUUUGCACUUCACUGUGUGGCACAUGAUCCAGAACUUUUACUUUGAGGAAAUGAGAGUGUUUCAAGCAGGCGCCUGUCGUGAAUACGUUAGCAUGGAAUAAUAGCAUGGGACCGCGGUCUGAAGCUGUUGGUUUUCGGGCCGUGGUAAUGAAAAUAGGGAUAGUUGGGGGUAUUCGUAUUUAACUGUCAGAGGUGAAAUUCUUGGAUUUUUUAAAGACGGACUACUGCGAAAGCAUCUGCCCAGGAUGUUUUUAUUGAUCAAGAACGAAAGUUAGGGGAUCGAAGACGAUCAGAUACCGUCCUAGUCUUAACCUUAAACCAUGCCGACUAGAGAUUUGGGUCGUCAGAAUCGUGACGCCCUGAGCACCUUAGGGGAAACCAAAGUCUUCGGGUUCCGGGGGGAGUAUGGUCGCAAGGCUGAAACUUAAAGGAAUUGACGGAAGGGCACCACCAGGAGUGGAGUCUGCGGCUUAAUUUGACUCAACACGGGGAAACUUACCAGGUUCGGACAUAGAGAGGAUUGACAGACUGAUAGCUCUUUCUUGAUUCUAUGGGUGGUGGUGCGUGGCCGUUCUUAGUUGGUGGAGUGAUUUGUCUGGUUAAUUCCGUUAACGAACGAGACCUUAACCUGCUAAAUAGUUUCCAGAACCAUAUAGUUUCAGGAUGAUUUCUUAGAGGGACUUUGUGUGUGUAACGUGAGGAAGUGUGAGGCAAUAACAGGUCUGUGAUGCCCUUAGAUGUUCUGGUCCGCACGCGCGCUACACUGAUGCGUUCAACGAGCUCCUAACCUACUCCGGAAGGAUUGGGCAACCUUGUGAAAGCGCAUCGUGAUGGGGAUAGAUUAUUGCAAUUAUUAAUCUUGAACGAGGAAUUCCUAGUAAGCGUAAUUCAUCAGAUUGCGCUGAUUACGUCCCUGCCCCUUGUACACACCGCCC
rnacentral:rRNA from 1 species